rnacentral:lncRNA from 1 species
GCCUGAUUCCUAUUUAAGGCAAACAAACAUCAGUGAGAAAAAUCAAUGUGAAAAACACAGUGGAUCAAAAUGAUGAAUCUGCAUUAUCCUUAGUGCCACUUAGUUAUAUAGAAAAAUAAUACAUGUCCGACUGAAAGUUACUACUGCAUGUUCUCCAUAUUCUAAAUCUUAAAGGGUAUUAGCCAUUGUUCAGUUUUAACCUCUGAAAUUGUUCUUUGGUAAUUAUAUUUUUAAUUUUUAAACAUGCUAAAUACAUUUUCUUAUCUUUUAAGGGGCCUACAGUCACUGGCUCAAGUUUUGUGAUGUGCUGUUUGUAACUGGACAGGCCUGGAAGUGGCUUAGUACCUUCCACUCCUAUUUUAAGAUCUGUCUUUGAUUUUGGAGGCCUGGUUCUCCCCUCGGUAAUUCUGCUGGAACCAUUGGCAUUGCAUCAUGGAAAUUAGCAGCCUUUGUCCCUGAAGAGCUUAAUACACUCCUGUAUGAGUUUACAUCAUGUAUGGACUUUGAUGCUGGAAAGCUCCUGGAAACAGAAGCUCAUGGUUAAACUGGUGAGUCUGCAAAUGCACGAAACCUCCCUCUGGAAAUUGUGCAGAGGGUUUAUACUUUGCUAAGCAAGCUCAUGAAAGAGCUUUGAGUUAUUAAGGUGAAAAGAGAUGCACUGAAGGCAUUGGGUUGUAGCAGUGUGUGGGUCCAUCUACUGGUUGUACUAAAAAAUUGUUAGUUGUCUC